UUCGCAAUGCCCGAAAGGGUGACAAUGCGACGCCGCGUGUGCGAUGAAGGCCUUCGGGUCGUAAAGCACUGUCAACCGGAAGGAAUCUCUGGAGCUCUAACAGAGCUGCAGGGCGACAGUACCGGUGGAGGAAGCCACGGCUAACUCCGUGCCAGCAGCCGCGGUAAUACGGAGGUGGCAAGCGUUACUCGGAUUGAUUGGGUGUAAAGCGCGCGUAGGUGGUCCUGUAAGCGGGGGAUGAAAGCCCAUGGCUCACCCAUGGAACUGUCCCUCGGACUGCAGGGCUGGAGGGCGGGAGGGGAGAAUGGAAUUCCCGGUGUAGCGGUGAAAUGCGUAGAUAUCGGGAGGAACGCCGGUGGCGAAAGCGAUUCUCUGGUCCGCUCCUGACACUGAGUGCGCGAGAGCUAGGGGAGCAAACAGGAUUAGAUACCCUGGUAGUCCUAGCUGUAAACGAUGGGCACUAAGUAGAGGGGUUUU
rnacentral:rRNA from 1 species